rnacentral:rRNA from 1 species
AGAGUUUGAUCCUGGCUCAGGACGAACGCUGGCGGCGUGCCUAAUACAUGCAAGUCGAGCGGACAGAUGGGAGCUUGCUCCCUGAUGUUAGCGGCGGACGGGUGAGUAACACGUGGGUAACCUGCCUGUAGGACUGGGAUAACUCCGGGAAACCGGGGCUAAUACCGGAUGGUUGUUUGAACCGCAUGGUUCAAACAUAAAAGGUGGCUUCGGCUACCACUUGCAGAUGGACCCGCGGCGCAUUAGCUAGUUGGUGAGGUAAUGGCUCACCAAGGCAGCGAUGCGUAGCCGACCUGAGAGGGUGAUCGGCCACACUGGGACUGAGACACGGCCCAGACUCCUACGGGAGGCAGCAGUAGGGAAUCUUCCGCAAUGGACGAAAGUCUGACGGAGCAACGCCGCGUGAGUGAUGAAGGUUUUCGGAUCGUAAAGCUCUGUUGUUAGGGAAGAACAAGUGCCGUUCGAAUAGGGCGGUACCUUGACGGUACCUAACCAGAAAGCCACGGCUAACUACGUGCCAGCAGCCGCGGUAAUACGUAGGUGGCAAGCGUUGUCCGGAAUUAUUGGGCGUAAAGGGCUCGCAGGCGGUUUCUUAAGUCUGAUGUGAAAGCCCCCGGCUCAACCGGGGAGGGUCAUUGGAAACUGGGGAACUUGAGUGCAGAAGAGGAGAGUGGAAUUCCACGUGUAGCGGUGAAAUGCGUAGAGAUGUGGAGGAACACCAGUGGCGAAGGCGACUCUCUGGUCUGUAACUGACGCUGAGGAGCGAAAGCGUGGGGAGCGAACAGGAUUAGAUACCCUGGUAGUCCACGCCGUAAACGAUGAGUGCUAAGUGUUAGGGGGUUUCCGCCCCUUAGUGCUGCAGCUAACGCAUUAAGCACUCCGCCUGGGGAGUACGGUCGCAAGACUGAAACUCAAAGGAAUUGACGGGGGCCCGCACAAGCGGUGGAGCAUGUGGUUUAAUUCGAAGCAACGCGAAGAACCUUACCAGGUCUUGACAUCCUCUGACAAUCCUAGAGAUAGGACGUCCCCUUCGGGGGCAGAGUGACAGGUGGUGCAUGGUUGUCGUCAGCUCGUGUCGUGAGAUGUUGGGUUAAGUCCCGCAACGAGCGCAACCCUUGAUCUUAGUUGCCAGCAUUCAGUUGGGCACUCUAAGGUGACUGCCGGUGACAAACCGGAGGAAGGUGGGGAUGACGUCAAAUCAUCAUGCCCCUUAUGACCUGGGCUACACACGUGCUACAAUGGACAGAACAAAGGGCAGCGAAACCGCGAGGUUAAGCCAAUCCCACAAAUCUGUUCUCAGUUCGGAUCGCAGUCUGCAACUCGACUGCGUGAAGCUGGAAUCGCUAGUAAUCGCGGAUCAGCAUGCCGCGGUGAACACGUUCCCGGGCCUUGUACACACCGCCCGUCACACCACGAGAGUUUGUAACACCCGAAGUCGGUGAGGUAACCUUUUAGGAGCCAGCCGCCGAAGGUGGGACAGAUGAUUGGGGUGAAGUCGUAACAAGGUA